UACGUAGGGUGCAAGCGUGUCCGGAAUUAUUGGGCGUAAAGAGCUCGUAGGCGGUCUGUCGCGUCGGAUGUGAAAACUCGGGGCUCAACCCCGGGCCUGCAUUCGAUACGGGCAGACUAGAGUUCGGCAGGGGAGACUGGAAUUCCUGGUGUAGCGGUGAAAUGCGCAGAUAUCAGGAGGAACACCGGUGGCGAAGGCGCCACUCUGGG
rnacentral:rRNA from 1 species